UACGUAGGGGGCUAGCGUUGUCCGGAUUUAUUGGGCGUAAAGCGCGCGCAGGCGGCUUACCAAGUCGGUCGUGAAAUCUCUCGGCUCAACCGGGAGGGGUCGGGCGAAACUGGUAGGCUGGAGGAUGGUAGGGGGAAGCGGAAUUCCCGGUGUAGUGGUGGAAUGCGUAGAUAUCGGGAGGAACACCAGUGGCGAAGGCGGCUUCCUGGACCGACACUGACGCUGAGGCGCGAAAGCCAGGGGAGCAAACGGG
rnacentral:rRNA from 1 species